AGCGAACGCUGGCGGCAGGCUUAACACAUGCAAGUCGAACGCCCGGGCAACCGGGAGUGGCAGACGGGUGAGUCACACGUGGGAACGUACCCUUUGGUUCGGAAUAACUCAGGGAAACUUGAGCUAAUACCGGAUACGCCCUUUUGGGGAAAGAUUUAUCGCCGAAGGAUCGGCCCGCGUCGGAUUAGCUAGUUGGUGAGGUAACGGCUCACCAAGGCGACGAUCGGUAGCUGGUCUGAGAGGAUGAUCAGCCACACUGGGACUGAGACACGGCCCAGACUCCUACGGGAGGCAGCAGUGGGGAAUAUUGGACAAUGGGGGCAACCCUGAUCCAGCCAUGCCGCGUGAGUGAUGAAGGCCCUAGGGUUGUAAAGCUCUUUCGGCGGGGACGAUAAUGACGGUACCCGCAGAAGAAGCCCCGGCUAACUUCGUGCCAGCCGCCGCCGUAA
rnacentral:rRNA from 1 species